CCUACGGGUGGCAGCAGUGGGGAAUAUUGCACAAUGGGCGAAAGCCUGAUGCAGCAACGCCGCGUGAAGGAAGAAGGGUUUCGGCUCGUAAACUUCUAUCGACAGGGAAGAAAGAAAUGACGGUACCUGAAUAAGAAGCCCCGGCUAACUACGUGCCAGCAGCCGCGGUAAUACGUAGGGGGCAAGCGUUAUCCGGAAUUACUGGGUGUAAAGGGUGAGUAGGCGGCAAGUUAAGUAAGAUGUGAAAGCCUGCGGCUUAACUGCAGGAUUGCAUUUUAAACUAAUUAGCUAGAGUACAGGAGAGGUAAGCGGAAUUCCUAGUGUAGCGGUGAAAUGCGUAGAUAUUAGGAAGAACACCGGUGGCGAAGGCGGCUUACUGGACUGAAACUGACGCUGAGGCACGAAAGCGUGGGGAGCGAACAGGAUUAGAUACCCGGGUAGUC
rnacentral:rRNA from 1 species